rnacentral:rRNA from 1 species
AUUGAACGCUGGCGGCAGGCCUAACACAUGCAAGUCGAGCGGGGUUUUCGGACCUAGCGGCGGACGGGUGAGUAAUGCGUAGGAAGCUACCCGAUAGAGGGGGAUACCAGUUGGAAACGACUGUUAAUACCGCAUAAUGUCUACGGACCAAAGUGUGGGACCUUCGGGCCACAUGCUAUCGGAUGCGCCUACGUGGGAUUAGCUAGUUGGUGAGGUAAUGGCUCACCAAGGCGACGAUCCCUCGCUGGUUUGAGAGGAUGAUCAGCCACACUGGAACUGAGACACGGUCCAGACUCCUACGGGAGGCAGCAGUGGGGAAUAUUGGACAAUGGGCGCAAGCCUGAUCCAGCCAUGCCGCGUGUGUGAAGAAGGCCUUCGGGUUGUAAAGCACUUUCAGUAGGGAGGAAGCGUUGUGUGUUAAUAGUACACAGCGUUGACGUUACCUACAGAAGAGGCACCGGCUAACUCUGUGCCAGCCGCCGCCGUAAAAC